AUUGAACGCUGGCGGCAUGCUUUACACAUGCAAGUCGAACGGUAACAGGCCGCAAGGUGCUGACGAGUGGCGAACGGGUGAGUAAUGCAUCGGAACGUGCCCAGUCGUGGGGGAUAACGCAGCGAAAGCUGCGCUAAUACCGCAUACGAUCUAUGGAUGAAAGCGGGGUACCGUAAGGCCUCGCGCGAUUGGAGCGGCCGAUGUCAGAUUAGGUAGUUGGUGGGGUAAAGGCUCACCAAGCCAACGAUCUGUAGCUGGUCUGAGAGGACGACCAGCCACACUGGGACUGAGACACGGCCCAGACUCCUACGGGAGGCAGCAGUGGGGAAUUUUGGACAAUGGGCGCAAGCCUGAUCCAGCAAUGCCGCGUGCAGGAAGAAGGCCUUCGGGUUGUAAACUGCUUUUGUACGGAACGAAACGGCUCUGGUUAAUACCUGGGGCUAAUGACGGUACCGUAAGAAUAAGCACCGGCUAACUACGUGCCAGCAGCCGCCGUAAGAC
rnacentral:rRNA from 1 species